rnacentral:rRNA from 1 species
UACGGAGGAUCCAAGCGUUAUCCGGAAUCAUUGGGUUUAAAGGGUCCGUAGGCGGUUUAAUAAGUCAGUGGUGAAAUCUGGUCGCUUAACGAUCAAACGGCCAUUGAUACUGUUAGACUUGAAUUACUGGGAAGUAACUAGAAUAUGUAGUGUAGCGGUGAAAUGCUUAGAUAUUACAUGGAAUACCAAUUGCGAAGGCAGGUUACUACCAGUGGAUUGACGCUGAUGGACGAAAGCGUGGGGAGCGAACAGG